rnacentral:rRNA from 1 species
UACGUAGGGUGCAAGCGUUGUCCGGAAUUAUUGGGCGUAAAGAGCUCGUAGGCGGCUUGUCGCGUCGGCUGUGAAAACCCGAGGCUCAACCUCGGGCCUGCAGUCGAUACGGGCAAACUAGAGUACUGCAGGGGAGACUGGAAUUCCUGGUGUAGCGGUGAAAUGCGCAGAUAUCAGGAGGAACACCGGUGGCGAAGGCGGGUCUCUGGGCAGUAACUGACGCUGAGGAGCGAAAGCGUGGGGAGCGAACAGG